AUAAGCGGAGGAAAAGAAACCAACAGGGAUUGCCCCAGUAACGGCGAGUGAAGCGGCAAUAGCUCAAAUUUGAAAUCUGGCCCUUUCAGGGUCCGAGUUGUAAUUUGCAGAGGGCGCUUUGGUGUCGGCAGCAGCCUAAGUUCCUUGGAACAGGUCAUCAUAGAGGGUGAGAAUCCCGUAUGUGGCUGCUUGUCUUCACCGUGUAAAGCCCCUUCGAUGAGUCGAGUUGUUUGGGAAUGCAGCUCUAAAUGGGAGGUAAAUUUCUUCUAAAGCUAAAUAUUGGCCAGAGACCGAUAGCGCACAAGUAGAGUGAUCGAAAGAUGAAAAGCACUUUGGAAAGAGAGUCAAAAAGCACGUGAAAUUGUUGAAAGGGAAGCGCUUGCAGCCAGACGUGCCCGUAGUCGCUCAAAUGAGGAAUUUCUUCUUUGUACUCUUCUAUGGGCAGGCCAGCAUCAGUUCGGGCGGUUGGAUAAAGACCUGCGUCAUGUGUCUCUCUUCGGGGAGUGUUAUAGGGCAGGUGGAAUACAAUCAGCCUGGACUGAGGUCCGCGCAUCUGCUAGGAUGCUGGCGUAAUGGCUGUAAGCGGCCCGUCUUGAAACACGGACCAAGGAGUCUAACAUCUAUGCGAGUGUUUGGGUGUCAAGCCCGAGCGCGUAAUGAAAGUGAACGGAGGUGGGAACCCCUCGGGGUGCACCAUCGACCGAUCCUGAUGUCUUCGGAUGGAUUUGAGUAAGAGCAUAGCUGUUGGGACCCGAAAGAUGGUGAACUAUGCCUGAAUAGGGUGAAGCCAGAGGAAACUCUGGUGGAGGCUCGCAGCGGUUCUGACGUGCAAAUCGAUCGUCAAAUUUGGGCAUAGGGGCGAAAGACUAAUCGAACUAUCUAGUAGCUGGUUCCUGCCGAAGUUUCCCUCAGGAUAGCAGUAACGUUUUCAGUUUUAUGAGGUAAAGCGAAUGAUUAGAGGCCUGGGGGUUGAAACAACCUUCACCUAUUCUCAAACUUUAAAUAUGUAAGAAGUCCUUGUUUCUUAAUU
rnacentral:rRNA from 1 species